GAGUUUGAUCCUGGCUCAGAACGAACGCUGGCGGCGUGCUUAACACAUGCAAGUCGAACGUGAUUGGAAGCUUGCUUCCAUGAAAGUGGCGCACGGGUGAGUAACGCGUGGAUAACCUGCCCUGGUAUCCGGAAUAACAUCUCGAAAGGGGUGCUAAUACCGGAUAAGCCUACGGAGCCUUCGGUCUCUGCAGGAAAAGGUGGCCUCUAUUUAUAAGCUACCGUAUCAGGAUGGGUCCGCGUACCAUUAGCUAGUUGGUGGGGUAAUGGCCUACCAAGGCGACGAUGGUUAGCUGGUCUGAGAGGAUGAUCAGCCACACUGGAAMUGAGACACGGUCCAGACUCCUACGGGAGGCAGCAGUGGGGAAUUUUGCGCAAUGGGGGAAACCCUGACGCAGCAACGCCGCGUGAGUGAUGAAGGCUUUCGGGUCGUAAAGCUCUGUCAGAGGGGAAGAAAUGGGUCUGGCUAAUAUCCAGAUUCCUUGACGGUACCCUCAAAGGAAGCACCGGCUAACUCCGUGCCAGCAGCCGCGGUAAUA
rnacentral:rRNA from 1 species